rnacentral:rRNA from 1 species
GUGGGGAAUAUUGGACAAUGGGCGCAAGCCUGAUCCAGCCAUGCCGCGUGAGUGAUGAAGGCCCUAGGGUUGUAAAGCUCUUUCACCGGAGAAGAUAAUGACGGUAUCCGGAGAAGAAGCCCCGGCUAACUUCGUGCCAGCAGCCGCGGUAAUACGAAGGGGGCUAGCGUUGUUCGGAAUUACUGGGCGUAAAGCGCACGUAGGCGGACAUUUAAGUCAGGGGUGAAAUCCCGGGGCUCAACCCCGGAACUGCCUUUGAUACUGGGUGUCUGGAGUAUGGAAGAGGUAAGUGGAAUUCCGAGUGUAGAGGUGAAAUUCGUAGAUAUUCGGAGGAACACCAGUGGCGAAGGCGGCUUACUGGUCCAUUACUGACGCUGAGGUGCGAAAGCGUGGGGAGCAAACAGGAUUAGAUACCCGGGUAGUCC